rnacentral:rRNA from 1 species
AGAGUUAAACAGUACGUGAAAUUGUUGAAAGGGAAACGAUUGAAGCCAAUCGUACUUCGGGAAAUCAACCUUUCUGGCGCGAUUAUGUGGGUGUGUUGGAGCCUAAUCAGCCCUCAUGUCUUUAUAUUUGUUCCUUUUGGGUGUACUUGCCCGUGCGGUAGGUUAACAUCAAUUUCGGACGUCAUAAAAUGGCGGGAGGAAUGUAGCUUCGGUCUCGGCUGAAGUGUUAUAGCCUCUGGUAGAUGUGACGUUUGGGAUUGAGGAUUGCAACGGAUACCUCUCGGGGCUACCUGUCUGGCCUCUGAUGAUUGCUUUGGUGCCGAAAGCUUGCUUACGGUCAUCAAAGUUGAUUGUCAAAAGGUUAGAACGGGUUAAAUUCGUUAAGGAUGUUGACGUAAUGGCUUUAAACGACC